rnacentral:rRNA from 1 species
AGAGUUUGAUCCUGGCUCAGAGUGAACGCUGGCGGCGUGCUUAACACAUGCAAGUCGAACGAGAACGGAUUAUAGCUUGCUAUAAUUGUCAGCUAAGUGGCGCACGGGUGAGUAAUGUAUAGGUAAUAUGCCUCUUACUAAGGGAUAACAAAUGGAAACGUUUGCUAAUACCUUAUACUCCUUAUUAACAGAAGUUAAUAAGGGAAAGAUUUAUUGGUAAGAGAUUAGCCUGUAUUGUAUCAGUUAGUUGGUGGGGUAAUGGCUUACCAAGACUAUGACACAUAACUGGUUUGAGAGGAUGAUCAGUCACACUGGAACUGAGACACGGUCCAGACUCCUACGGGAGGCAGCAGUGGGGAAUAUUGCACAAUGGACGAAAGUCUGAUGCAGCAACGCCGCGUGGAGGAUGACACAUUUCGGUGCGUAAACUCCUUUUAUAUGAGAAGAUAAUGACGGUAUUAUAUGAAUAAGCACCGGCUAACUCCGUGCCAGCAGCCGCGGUAAUACGGGGGGUGCAAGCGUUACUCGGAAUCACUGGGCGUAAAGAGCAUGUAGGCGGAUUAAUAAGUUUGAAGUGAAAUCCUAUAGCUUAACUAUAGAACUGCUUUGAAAACUGUUAAUCUAGAAUGUGGGAGAGGUAGAUGGAAUUUCUGGUGUAGGGGUAAAAUCCGUAGAGAUCAGAAGGAAUACCGAUUGCGAAGGCGAUCUACUGGAACAUUAUUGACGCUGAGAUGCGAAAGCGUGGGGAGCAAACAGGAUUAGAUACCCUGGUAGUCG